GGAAGUUAUCGGGUGGCAGCAGAGUUGGAAUGGGAUAGGUAGUUCCCCGUUUCCAGGACCCCAGACGGCCUGCUGGGACAGUGUAUAUGAGUCCGGAAUGGGCUGGACCAGGGUCAGGCUAGCCCAGACUUCAGGUACGGGCUGUGAUGACGAGGAGUGGGCUAGUCUCCCGGGUCGGUCACCGCUGAACUCUCAGAGACAAUCAAGCUUUCGAUGAUCAUGUGAUGAGGUUUCCAGUCAGUUCCAGGAGGAAGCACUCAAUUGAACAAGUGCAGGAACCAGCUGGCUGCCUCAGCACUGACAGAAGCAAAUUCCAUUUGCUUGGACCCACUGCAUUCCAUCCCUUGUGGAAGAGAGCAUGUAAGCAAGUGAGUGCAGGAACUGGCUGGCUGCUUUGGUGCUGGCAGGAGCAAACACC
rnacentral:lncRNA from 1 species